rnacentral:lncRNA from 1 species
AACCGAAAUCUGGCAAAUACAUACCUUUGGAGAUUGACAAAAAGGUAACACGUGAUGUGGUGCAAGAACAUCGGGCCGCACUCAGAAGGAUUUGCUUUCCCAAGGAGCUUUCCAAAAGCGAGCAUCUUCAGGAACCCGCACAACGAAUCUCCUUCAAGGAACCACACAUUUUUAGUAGAAGAGAAAGAUGCAGGCCCAUAGAUCUAAUUACAAAAGGACAAGUUAAAUUGGAUAAAAUCAUGACUAUUAUUGAACCAGUGAGUAAAAAAAUGGAGACAGCAAAGCAACAGCACUUUGAGGAGUCCAGAAACAGAAUGUUGGAAUUACUCUAUCCCUUUCCUGUCCAUCUUUACUUACAACCUGGGACCUCUAACUUGGAACUUCUGAAAGAACCUGACAAAGCAUUCUAUGACUGGAGAGGAUUUGUGCCGACAAGGUCUUUCCGUUUGGCUUGUGACUCCCGUCGAGUUAGUUUCUCUCAAUCAUCAUCAGUAUUUCGGGAUUAUUAUUCUGU